rnacentral:rRNA from 1 species
GUAGGUGAACCUGCGGAAGGAUCAUUAAUGAAUUACAAGUCGGCCGUCUGUGCUGGUGGCAACACAUGUGCACGUCGGUCGCAAAUCCACACACCUGUGCACUUUAGACUUUGGGGUUCGCAUUCACGUGCAGUCGGUCUCCUUUGGGAGGCUUGAAUCCCAGGGUAGUUUACACACACUCUGAAUGUAAUGGAAUGUACCUGUGCUUAACCGCGCAUUUAAUACAACUUUCAACAACGGAUCUCUUGGCUCUCGCAUCGAUGAAGAACGCAGCGAAAUGCGAUAAGUAAUGUGAAUUGCAGAAUUCAGUGAAUCAUCGAAUCUUUGAACGCACCUUGCACCCUUUGGUAUUCCGAAGGGUACACCCGUUUGAGUGUCAUUGUAAUCUCACACCCUCAGACUUUUGUCGAAGGGAAGUGGACUUGGACGUUGUCGUGUCACUACGACUCGUCUCAAAUGCAUGAGUGUACCCUGCGUCCGCAGCGUAUUCGGUGUGAUAAGCAUCUUCACCGGAGUAGUGCCCUCGGGCUCGCGCUUGCAAAUGUUGGGCUCUGCGCUUCAAACCGUCUUCGGACAACAACUGACAAUUUGACCUCAAAUCGGGUGGGACUACCCGCUGAACUUAAGCAUAUCAAUAAGCGGAGGAAAAGAAACUAACAAGGAUUCCCCUAGUAACGGCGAGYGAAGAGGGAAAAGCUCAAAUUUUGAAUCUGGCGUCUUUGGCGUCCGAGUUGUAAUCUAGAGAAGUGUUUUCUGUGUUGGACCGUGCAAAAGUUCCCUGGAACGGGGCGUCAUAGAGGGUGAGAAUCCCGUAUAUGGCACGGACUCCCGAUGCUCUACGAUACACUCUCGACGAGUCGAGUUGUUUGGGAAUGCAGCUCAAAAUGGGUGGUAAAUUCCAUCUAAAGCUAAAUAUUGGCGAGAGACCGAUAGCGAACAAGUACCGUGAGGGAAAGAUGAAAAGCACUUUGGAAAGAGAGUGAAACAGUACGUGAAAUUGUUGGAAGGGAAGCGUUUGAAGYCAGUCGCGCUCGUCGGAACUCAGCCUGGCUUCUGCCUGGUGUACUUUCUGGCGASCGGGUCAGCGUCAGUUUUGGUCGAGGGAGAAAGGCAUUGGGAAUGUGGCAGUCUUMGGGCUGUGUUAUAGCCCUUUGUUGUAUGCCUCGACUGGGAUUGAGGACUGCAGCGCGCC